rnacentral:rRNA from 1 species
CAGUAGCCGCGGUAAUACGGAGGAUCCAAGCGUUAUCCGGAAUCAUUGGGUUUAAAGGGUCCGUAGGCGGUCUUGUAAGUCAGUGGUUAAAGCCCAUCGCUCAACGGUGGAACGGCCAUUGAUACUGCAGGACUUGAAUUAUUGGGAAGUAACUAGAAUAUGUAGUGUAGCGGUGAAAUGCUUAGAGAUUACAUGGAAUACCAAUUGCGAAGGCAGGUUACUACCAAUUGAUUGACGCUGAUGGACGAAAGCGUGGGUAGCGAACAGGAUUAGAUACCCCAGUAGUCCCUGUCUCUUAUAC